GAUGAACGCUAGCGGCAGGCUUAACACAUGCAAGUCGAGGGGUAGAUUACUUCGGUAAUUGAGACCGGCGCACGGGUGCGUAACGCGUAUACAAUCUACCUUUUACAGAGGGAUAGCCCAGAGAAAUUUGGAUUAAUACCUCAUAGUAUUUUCGAAUCGCAUGAUUUGAUUAUUAAAGUUCCAACGGUAAAAGAUGAGUAUGCGUCCCAUUAGCUAGAUGGUAAGGUAACGGCUUACCAUGGCUACGAUGGGUAGGGGUCCUGAGAGGGAGAUCCCCCACACUGGUACUGAGACACGGACCAGACUCCGACGGGAGGCAGCAGUGAGGAAUAUUGGACAAUGGGCGCGAGCCUGAUCCAGCCAUGCCGCGUGCAGGAAGAAGGUCCUAUGGAUUGUAAACUGCUUUUAUACAGGAAGAAACACCUCUACGUGUAGAGACUUGACGGUACUGUAUGAAUAAGGACCGGCUAACUCCGUGCCAGCCGCCGCGGUAA
rnacentral:rRNA from 1 species